CGUAGGUGGCAAGCGUUGUCCGGAGUUACUGGGUGUAAAGGGCGUGUAGGCGGGAAGAUAAGUCAGAUGUGAAAUUCCAUGGCUCAACUGUGGCGCUGCAUCUGAAACUAUUUUUCUUGAGUGAUGGAGAGGAAAGUGGAAUUCCUAGUGUAGCGGUGAAAUGCGUAGAUAUUAGGAGGAACACCAGUGGCGAAGGCGACUUUCUGGACAUUAACUGACGCUGAGGCGCGAAAGCGUGGGGAGCAAACAGGAUUAGAUACCCUGGUAGUCCACGCUGUAAACGAUGGAUACUAGGUGUAGGAGGUAUCGACCCCUUCUGUGCCGGAGUUAACACAAUAAGUAUCCCACCUGGGGAGUACGGCCGCAAGAUUG
rnacentral:rRNA from 1 species